AGUGAACGCUGGCGGCGUGCCUAAUACAUGCAAGUCGAACGAACGAAUAAGAGCUUGCUCUUAUAAGUUAGUGGCGCACGGGUGAGUAAUAUAUAGCUAAUCUGCCUCUUAGUAGAGGAUAACAGUCGGAAACGAUUGCUAAUACUCUAUACUUCUGCUUUACAUAAGUAAAGUAGAGAAAGUUUUUCGCUAAGAGAUGAGGCUAUACUGUAUCAGCUAGUUGGUAAGGUAACGGCUUACCAAGGCUGUGACGCAUAACUGGUCUGAGAGGAUGAUCAGUCACAUUGGAACUGAGACACGGUCCAAACUCCUACGGGAGGCAGCAGUAGGGAAUAUUGCGCAAUGGGGGAAACCCUGACGCAGCAACGCCGCGUGGAGGAUGACACUUUUCGGAGCGUAAACUCCUUUUAUCGGGAAAGAAUAAUGACGGUACCCGAUGAAUAAGCACCGGCUAACUCCGUG
rnacentral:rRNA from 1 species